rnacentral:SRP_RNA from 1 species
GCUGGGUGUGGUGGUGCACGCCUGUAAUCCCAGCUCCUCAGGAGGCUGGGGCGUGAAAAUAGUUUGAACCUGGGAGGCGGAGGUUGCAGGGAGCUGAGAUUGCACCACUGCACUCCAGCCUGGGUGAUAGAGCAAAUGCUCUGGCUAUUGUGUUGGCAGCAGAUUGGAGGAAAACAAGAGUCGGAGGGUGAGACCUCUGAGCGAGUUACUUAUGUUCAGACAGCAGUCCUGUCCUGAACUGCUGGAGUGCCCAGGCUGGAGUGCAGUGGCGUGAUCUCUGCUCACUGCAACCUCUGCCUCCCAGGUUCAAGCUAUUCUCCUGCCUCAG